GGGAAUCCGGUGGAAGUCCGGAACUGUCCCGCAACGGUGUGUUGGUGCGCUUUCGCGUACCCACGAGUCCGAAGACC
rnacentral:ncRNA from 19 species